rnacentral:piRNA from 1 species
GACAUGGUGCUAAGGCUGCAGAGAGUCGU